rnacentral:piRNA from 1 species
UGCAUUGACACCUGAUACCCAGACUUAAUUGC